UAUUCACCAAACAGCACCUGUACCUCGAAGAGUGUCUGGUGGAAUAGUGCUGUUUCCACAUUCAGUGCUUUUUAAAGAGUAAUGCCAUGGAGAAACUGCAGAGUGGCUAUAUGUAUAAGUCCCCUAUGUCUGGUCCUCAGGUUAUGAAAUCAUGGAAACGACGAUUCUUUACGCUCCUCAAGAUGAGUGAUAAUGUUCACCACCUG